rnacentral:rRNA from 1 species
AUGCUCCGCAUUGGCACAUCCAUCUCGGUUGGCUCUGGGUCGUCAACCAUGUUCUGGUUUGAUCGUUGGCUAGGGGACUCCCCCCUGGCCGCUCGCUUCCCGGAACUAUUCACCAUUGCGGUUGACCCUCGGGUCUCUGUUGAGACGGCCCUUAUUGACUUAGGGCGUCUCGCUUUCCGGCGCUCCUUCGAUCCUCAUGAGGUAGCCGCCUGGGACUCCCUCCUCCAGGACAUCGCGCUCCUUCCGGUGGACAUCGAGGACGACCCUGACUCCAUCUCUUGGCGUCUAGAGCCAUCUGGCCGCUUCUCCACUAAAUCCUUAUACGCGGCCAUCGCUCCCUCGACGGCUCCUGAGCCCUUUAUCAUCUGGGAAAUUCGCCUCCCUCUGAAGAUCCUGAUUUUCCUGUGGCAGUGGAUCAGGGGACGCCUUCCCUCUAUGGUGGAGGUCCUCAAAUGGAAUGGACCAGGAGAUGGGAUUUGUCCCUUGUGUGGCACGGUCGAGGAUGCUAACCACAUCUUCUUCUCUUGCUCCACAGCCCAAUUCCUGUGGUCCUGUUUCCGCGAGACGGUUGGUGGACAGUGGUGUAAUACCAACUUCCCCGACUUAGUUGCUGAGAUUCACGCCUCCCCCCUCGCUACCGCCAUAUUCGUAGGUUGUGCGUCGGGGUUCUCGCCUGGACGCUUUGGACCAUCCGCAACAAGCUUGUCAUUCAGAAAGUGCCUCUUCGACGUGCGACUGAUGCUGUCUUCAAAAUGUGUGGUUUCUUGCAGCUAUGGCGGCCGCUUAGCCGCCCCCAGGACCGGGACGUCAUCAACACCCUCCUCGCCGACCUUCACUCGAUGGCUGUCUGCAUGGCGCCUGAGGGAGUCCUGGAUUAGGGGGUGUCCGGAUGGCCAGACUAUGACCUUUGGCCGGACUCCCGGACUAUGA